GCGGGGGGGCGCGGAGGGGCGGCGGGGGCCGUGAUUAGCGCUGACAAUAAACUGUGCCGGGGAACGCUAAUGCCGCUGUUAGCCAAAGUGUAUACGCAGGAAAAAAUUGUGAUAGUCGGCGCGCCGGGCUUGUGGGACCCCACCCAGCACCUGGGCUUGUGCACUGUGAAAUUAAUCAGAGAAUCGGUGAGGUUGGAAAAGAGCUCUGAGGCCAUCGAGUCGAACCCGUGAGCGAACACCACCUUGUCAAGCAGACCAUGGCACCGAGUGCCACAUCCAGCCUCUCCUUAAACACCUCGGGGAGGGUGACUCUGCUACCUCCCUGCGCAGCCCAUUCCAGUGUCAAAUCACCCUUCCUGUGAAGAAAUUCCUCCUAAUGUCCAACCUAAACCUCUGCUGGCGCAACUUAAAACCACGCCCUGUCACUUGUCACCAUGGUGAAAAGGCCGACCCUCACCCGGGUACAGGCUCCUUUCAGGGAGCUGUAGAGAGAAUAAGCGAUUUCUCUUUCAGGUACCAGACCCUUGGGGAGAGGACAUGCACAGGGGACUGCUUCUCUCCCAGGGGCACCGGAGGUAUAACAAGAAAAGUCCCUUGGCUUUGCCGUGCCAGUGUCCAAGGGAAAGGCAUAGCUGGAUGUGGGGCCAGGAGACGUGGAUUCAGCAGCUCCAGGAGCCUGGCAGACAAGGAGUCAGCUGGCAGGGCUGGUGUUUUUUCAGUGGAAUUGUGUGGAAUGCAGUGCGUGGUGUCAAAAAUAAAGAAGAGGUUCAGAUUGUCAUGAGCUCUUGCUUUUCACAUAGGAACUAAAUGUGACAGUUUAUAUUUGUCAAAAUAGAAAAACUCCCAUUGCCAAAAAUGACAAUUCUAGGAUUAUGCUUUGGCAGAGUAAGUGUUUCAGCUCAGAACCUGGAAAAGUUUUCUGAACUGCUUACUGAGAUGCAGGUAAACUAGGCUGCUCUAACACUCACACACACAAACUUUUUCCCUAAUGCCUGAUGUGAAAUGCUUGAGCUACAUGACAGCUUAGGCAUGCUUUUCGCUAGGGCCUUUUGCUUCUUUCUAUCUAUCUCUGCCUCUGAUACUUCCUUUUGCCAUAGCUUCCUUCAGAUACUAGAACUGUUACAAUUUAGACAUCAGUGAUAUGGUCCAUGUCCCUCUGCUCAGCAUGUGUUUGGGGUAUGUGCUUGUGUUAUGGUUAUCCAUCUUCACCCUUUAUAAGACAAUAAAGGGGGAAAACUCAAGUAUUUCUAGGGUGUGAUUUAUUUAACCUGUGUCAAACAUUCAGAAUCAUGCCUCCUGUGCCUGGGAAAUCUCUGAUGCCUUACUGAGUGCAAGGAGUCUAGACACCUCAUUUGGAUGGCACUUGCUUUGCAGAUGUCUAAUCAGCCUGAGGAAAAUCUGUCCUUUGGGGAGCUGUGUUCUCACUGUGAGAUGUUCCAAGUUUUUCUCUUUCCAUGGUAUGGAACAGAUUCAUUUUAAGAAGCCUUAGAUCAGCACAUAAAAGAAUAUGAGUGAAAAUGACAAUAUAAAAAAAAAACAACCUAAGGCAUUGAUGUCAUGAGAAAAGUUCCUUGCCCCACAUGGUGUGGGAAAGGAGGACAGAAUAGUAAUUAGACAUAAUUCUAGGUCAUUAAAUUGGGAUGGCACCCAUGCACAGAACUGUGGAAACCAGUGAGAGAAAUUUUUUAAAAAGUCACUUAUGCAACACGACAAAAGACACUUAAUUAAGCAUGGUUUCAGAGGGAUUUUAAGCAGUUUCCUGUGAAGUUGAGGCUUUUUGUUUGCUGUUCUAGUAUGUUGAACUUCUCUGCUAACAAGCCGGGCAAAAGCGUCACACACAUUUGAAGAAAAGUGGAAAGAACAAAUCUCUCUCUGGACAAUCUGGGAAGGAAGUGGGACACCCCAGGACUCUGCCCACAGCCUCCCAUGCAGAGGGAACCAAGGCCUGCAUCCACAGAGCAUGAGCUCAGGUCCUGGCAUCUCCUCUGCAGCCUCCAGCACACAGAAACAGACUGCCUCGCUCAGCAUUGCCCAGUUCAUUUGAUUUAAUGAAAUGCUUGAUUUCUGACUUUGAUUAUACACCUGCCCCCAACCUAAAAGACAGGCAGAGACAGAUUUUCUGCUUCCACAUACCCCUCUGAAUUUAGUAAAUGUGAAUCAAUGGAUAGGACAGGGUUAGAUUGAGGAGCACAACAGCUGGUGCUGCCCUGAGUGUGACAGCCUUGCAAACCUGAGGAAAAGGGGGGAUCUUCCCCCUAUUUGACUGUAGAAAUAGGAGUUCUGGGGGUGCAGGCUUUCUGCAUGACUUCCUUGAAGAAUCUGCCCCAAACAGCAAAAGACUCUUAGACCUACAAGUUAGCUUGCCUGGUACACUGUUAUUUCCUUUUAGAUCUUGGGCUUUUGUUUCAGUCUUGGGCUCCUAAAGCACGUUCAGAAGUGGGAAUGCAAGCUGCUCUUGAAUUCAGUCACAGCCCAGUCAGUCCUUGCAGUUGCAAUUUUGUGUGAGAAGUUGUGUUACCUGUCCAUGUAGGUUAGGCAGUACAUUUAUUUGUGCCUUGGAUGAGGCAGGAUGGGAUGACCAAUAAUUGUGCAUGCUGUUCAUGCAUGAGGACAAAAGUUGUUUUAUAUUUUCUCGUACAAAAGCUGCAUGUAGGGAAAGGACUGUCAGUUUGUGCUGUGCCUUUAUAGCAUCUGACCUGCAGGAUCCUGGCCCACGACCAAAGCCUGUAGGCACCAAACUGAUAAUAUGUAAUGAUAAUAUAUGGCACUGGCAAAAGCUAAACAUAGUUAAUGGAGACCCAAGCUUAGUGGCCAGAUUUCCAACAUUACAGGAAAACAAGCCUGAAGGGUUUCAGUUUUAGUUAGACACAGCACCCUACUCUCCCUCCAUACUAGGAAUGAGCUCUUAGGGAGAAAAACACAUAAAAAUCACAACUUUUAUGGAGACUAUGUUCAUUCCAUGAAGAAAUCCAGAAUGUACUUGAUACAAGUACUCACUUCAGUCUCAUAGAUUUAUCAAGAGAAUUGCUGAAAAGGGUCUUCCAGCUUUACAGGGAAAAAAUUCACUUUCCAAAAGUCAUUAGCAACUACUAGAAAUUUGACUGAGAGCCACUGAAUAUUACCAGUUUUGAAAAUCCGGUUACUGCAUAUCCAAAAUGUGAAUGCUGAAACAGUGAGCUUGGUCUUUUAAAAAUUAUAGCCAAAGAAUAUGUGUGUGUGUGUGUCUAUAUAUAAAUACAUCUUUUUAAAUGCAUUUUGAGUUACCCAGAGCUAAACAGAAUCAAAAAUUGCUGAUAUGUAAAUAUCACUGUAAUGUAAAUAUAUUCACCAUUUAAUCCUGAUAAAUACUGGAUUGUAGACUUCUGAACAGAGACUGACAAUUAUUGGAAACCUUGUGGUCAUCUCAAGUAUACAGUGCCUCAAUUAAAAUAAAACCACAAAAUCCUUUUCCUUUUUUAAAAGUACCCUGUAGCAUAUAAUUUAUUUGGUUGGACUCUACAAAUAUACAAUUAUAUCAUGCCAGAAGAACUUGAGAACCACUUUUUUCUUGUUCCCAGGGUCUCUUGACUGUUGGUAAGACGUUACAGUCAUAAUGAUAGAAUCGGUUUACAGUUGCAUAUUCUGCCAAAUAGCUCACAAAUUAUAUUUGGCAAACAACACUGCCUCUGUUUCACAAAGAUAAUGAUCUGAUGUUUUGUUUAUGUGGAAAGGAAAAUAUUAUUUAAGAGAUUGUGACAGAAUUUAAAAAAACUUUGUGCGGUAUUCUCAACAUGUGAUACAUUUAAAAGUUACCACUCUAUUAAAUACAGAGUAACACAGAUUUUCAACUGAUCCUUCAAAAAAAAAAAAAAAA